rfam:Ixodes scapularis strain Wikel colony gcontig_1108378620290, whole genome shotgun sequence.
GUGCUUGUUGUGUAGUGGUUAUCACAUCCGCCUAACACGCGGAAGGUCCCAGGUUCGAUCCCUGGCAGGCACA